GGGGAUGUAGCUCAGUUGGUAGAGUGCUUGCCUCAAAUGUAUAAGGCCCUGGGUUCAACUCCUAGUACCA
rnacentral:tRNA from 1 species